GUUGAAUAGUAUAAUUUAACGAGUGAAAAUGAUCAAAGAUAGAUCUAAUGGCAAAAAACUCAAUAAUAUUAAGAGCCUGGUAUUAUCGAUAGUAUAGUGGCCGAAAUCAUAUAGAAUUAUAUAUAUGUAACUAGAUUACUAUGCUAUUAAUAUAUAGCAUUAAGUUAUUGGUGCUAUUAAGUUUUCGGCUUUUAUAUUAAAAGAUGUGCAGUUAGAAUGAUAGUGGUUUUCUAAGAUUGAGUUGGUGGGUGGUUGAAUAAUAUAAUUUAAUAGGUGGAAAUAGUCAAAGGGGUAGAUCUAAUGGCGUAAACUUGGUAGCACAAAGUGCUUGGUGCUACUGAUAGCAUAGUAGUCAAACUCUUAUAGAACUAUAUAU
rnacentral:lncRNA from 1 species